CUCUGCUAAACAUAGAUCUGAAAAUAAUAAUUAAAAAGCUUCAUUUAGGCCGGGCAUGGUGGCUCACCCUCAUCUUUUAUUUCUUUAAACAUCUCAUACUUUAUUCAUUUAUAUUGUGUAUUUGAUUAUCAUCAUAUCUUAGAUCCCUGAGGUCUAAAUCUUAUUUAUUGUUUCUGUUGAUAGUCACCCUUGGUAGUUUCUUUCCUUGUGUAUUUGGUACAGGAUCUACUUGUUUUGAAGGAGGAAUGUCCUUUAGCAUUUCUUGUUUGCCAUGUUGCAUGAAGAAAUCGAAUCAGGAGCUUCUCAACUCAUGUGUCAUGAAUGGGUCAUUGGCAUGCUGAGAUAUUUACCCUUUCAGCUGGCUUGUCAUCACUAGUUUGACCUGCUUUGUCUAU
rnacentral:lncRNA from 10 species